UACGGAGGGUGCAAGCGUUAUCCGGAUUCACUGGGUUUAAAGGGUGCGUAGGCGGGCAGGUAAGUCAGUGGUGAAAUCUUCAAGCUUAACUUGGAAACUGCCAUUGAUACUAUCUGUCUUGAAUGUUCUGGAGGUUAGCGGAAUAUGUCAUGUAGCGGUGAAAUGCUUAGAUAAUGACAUAGAACACCUAUUGCGAAGGCAGCUAACUACGGAAAUAUUGACGCUGAGGCACGAAAGCGUGGGGAGUCAAACAGGAAUUAGAGUACCCCGAUAAGUCCGAGACCAAGUUCC
rnacentral:rRNA from 1 species